rnacentral:rRNA from 1 species
CCUACGGGAGGCAGCAGUGAGGAAUAUUGGUCAAUGGACGAGAGUCUGAACCAGCCAAGUAGCGUGAAGGAGGACUGCCCAGUGGGUUGUAAACUUCUUUUAUAAAGGAAUAAAACGAGGCACGUGUGCCUUUUUGCGUGUACUUUAUGAAUAAGGAUCGGCUAACUCCGUGCCAGCAGCCGCGGUAAUACGGAGGAUCCGAGCGUUAUCCGGAUUUAUUGGGUUUAAAGGGAGCGUAGAUGGGUUGUUAAGUCAGUUGUGAAAGUUUGGGGCUCAACCGUAAAAUGGCAAUUGAUACUGGCAGUCUUGAGUACAGGUGAGGUAGGCGGAAUUCGCGGUGUAGCGGUGAAAUGCUUAGAUAUCACGAAGAACCCCGAUUGCGAAGGCAGCUUACUAACCUGAGACUGACACUGAGGCUCGAAAGCGUGGGUAUCAAACAGGAUUAGAUACCCGUGUAGUC